UCCCUGUUACCAGGGCAGUCUAAGUAGAAAAAUUCAACUACUUACAAGGGUUGCGCUCGUUAAUGGACUUAACCAAACAUCUCACGACACGAGCUGACGACGGCCAUGCAACACCUGUCACUUGAUUCCCGAAGGCACUCUUUCCUUUCGGAAAGAUUCCAAGGAUGUCAAACCUGGGUAAGGUUCUUCGCUUUGCAUCGAAUUAAACAACACGCUCCACCGCUUGUGCGGGUCCCCGUCAAUUCCUUUAUGUUUUAAGCUUGCGCUCGUACUCCACAGGCGGGAUGCUUAACGCGUUAGCUUCGCUACUACCCGGGUCGAUACGGAUAACAGCUAGCAUCCAUCGUUUACGGCGUGGACUAC
rnacentral:misc_RNA from 1 species